UGAGGAAUAUUGGUCAAUGGACGCAAGUCUGAACCAGCCAUGCCGCGUGGAGGAUGAAGGCCUUCUGGGUUGUAAACUUCUUUUAUUGGGGAAGAAAAGCACGGUUUCUACUGUGUCCGACGGUACCCAAGGAAUAAGCACCGGCUAACUCCGUGCCAGCAGCCGCGGUAAUACGGAGGGUGCAAGCGUUAUCCGGAUUCACUGGGUUUAAAGGGUGUGUAGGCGGGCUGUUAAGUCAGUGGUGAAAUCUCAAGGCUCAACCUUGAAACUGCCAUUGAUACUAUCAGUCUUGAAUUUUGUUGAGGUAGGCGGAAUAUGUCAUGUAGCGGUGAAAUGCUUAGAUAUGACAUAGAACACCGAUUGCGAAGGCAGCUUACUAAGCAAAUAUUGACGCUGAGGC
rnacentral:rRNA from 1 species